GGAUAAAUAUGAAGAAAGGGCAGUAUUGGAUCCUACACAAGGAUAUAAAACCCUCCAUGUGACAAUGAAAGGGGUUAAAUCAUCUUGUGAUCCAGUAAAAAAUUUCCUUCAUACUUGGGAAUCAAUUUUCAUGCUCUUGUCUAAUCAUGAGAAAAACAUCAGCCAAAUCCCAACAGAGGGAUGUUCCACAAAACACUUGACUAGUACUCCUCAAAAUCAUCAAGCCAACAACAAACAAGGAAAGUCAGAAAUUGUCACAGGCGAAAGAAGCAUAUGGAAACACUACAACUAAAUGCAAUAUGGUAUCCUCAACAGGCUAGGACACAAGGUAAAAAUUAAGAAAAUCUGAGUGAGGUGUGCACUUUAAUUAAUAGUAAUGUAUCAAUAUCAGUUCAUUAGUUGUUACAAGUGUACCCUAGUCAUGUAAGAUGUUAAUUAAGGAAACUGUGUGUGGGAA